GGUUCGAUUUCGGAGAGGGAGCAUGAGAAACGGCUACCACAUCUAAGGAAGGCAGCAGGCGCGUAAAUUACCCAAUCCUGACUCAGGGAGGUAGUGACAAGAAAUAGCAAACCGGGAACCUCAUGGUUUCACGGUAUUGCAAUGAGAACAAUUUAAAACCCUUAGCGAGAAUCAAGUGGAGGACAAGUCUGGUGCCAGCACCCGCGGUAAUUCCAGCUCCACUAGCGUAUAUUAAAGUUGUUGCAGUUAAAAAGCUCGUAGUUGAACCUCUGUCUGGGGCUAGUUUUGGCUUUGGUCAGGCUAGUUCUAGGCAUCCGCCUACAAGACUUAGAGGGCAUUCAGUUGUUCACUAGGAGGAGUAGGCAUUUUACUUUAAAAAAAUUAGAGUGUUUAAGGCAGGCAAUCGCCCGCAUAUAUUAGCAUGGAAUAAUAGAAUAGGACACUUUUCCAUUUCGUUGGUUAUUGGAAUCGUGUAAUGAUUAAUAGGGACAGUUGUGGGCAUUAGUAUUUAAUUGUCAGAGGUGAAAUUCUUGGAUUUAUUAAAGACAAACUAACGCGAAAGCAUUUGCCAAGGAUGUUUUCAUUAAUCAAGAACGAAAGUUAGGGGAUCAAAGACGAUCAGAUACCGUCCUAGUCUUAACUAUAAACUAUUCCGACUCAAUGUUUGACUGGCUUAUACAACCAGUUGAGCGUUGUAUGAGAAAUCAAAGUCUUUAGGUUCUGGGGGGAGUAUGGUUGCAAAGCUGAAACUUAAAGGAAUUGACGGAAGAGCACAACCAGGAGUGGAUUCUGCGGCUUAAUUUGACUCAACACGGGGAAACUUACCAGGUUAAAACAAUAGUGGGAUUGACAGUUUGAGAGCGCUUUCUUGAUUGGUUGGGUGGUGGUGCAUGGCCGUUCUUAGUUGGUGGAGUGAUUUGUCUGCUUAAUUGCGUUAACGAACGAGACCUUAACCUGCUUACUAGACUGGCGAUCAUCAAUCGUUAGCUCUUCUUAGAGGGACUUUGGUUGUUUUAACUCCAAGGAAGCUUGAGGCAAUAACAGGUCUGUGAUGCCCUUAGAUAUCCUGGGCCGCACGCGUCAUACAAUGACUAGUUCAGAAAGUUUUCUCCUGACCCGAAAGGGGAUGGGUAAUCUUGAUAAUACUAGUCGUGUUAGGGAUCGAUCUUUGCAAUUAUAGAUCUUAACGAGGAAUUCCUAGUAAGUGCGGUUCAUCAGACCGUACUGAUUACGUCCCUGCUCUUUGUACACACCGCCCGUCGCUUCUACCGAGUGGGUGGUCCGGUGAGAUAAUACG
rnacentral:rRNA from 1 species